rnacentral:rRNA from 1 species
UACGUAGGUGGCAAGCGUUAUCCGGAAUUAUUGGGCGUAAAGGGAGCGCAGGCGGUUUAUUAAGUUUAUGGUGAAAGUUCGGGGCUCAACCCCGUGACGCCAUAGAAACUGGUAGACUUGAGUGCAGGAGAGGUUAGUGGAAUUCCAUGUGUAGCGGUAAAAUGCGUAGAUAUAUGGAGGAACACCAGUGGCGAAGGCGGCUGACUGGCCUGUAACUGACGCUGGGGCUCGAAAGCGUGGGGAGCAAAUAGG